rnacentral:rRNA from 1 species
UAAGCGACUAAGCGUACACGGUGGAUGCCCUGGCAGUCAGAGGCGAUGAAGGACGUGCUAAUCUGCGAAAAGCGUCGGUAAGGUGAUAUGAACCGUUAUAACCGGCGAUGUCCGAAUGGGGAAACCCAGUGCAAUUCGUUGCACUAUCGUUAACUGAAUACAUAGGUUAACGAGGCGAACCGGGGGAACUGAAACAUCUAAGUACCCCGAGGAAAAGAAAUCAACCGAGAUUCCCCCAGUAGCGGCGAGCGAACGGGGAGCAGCCCAGAGUCUGAAUCAGCUUGUGUGUUAGUGGAACGGUCUGGAAAGUCCGACGGUACAGGGUGAUAGUCCCGUACACCAAAAUGCACAGGUUGUGAACUCGAAGAGUAGGGCGGGACACGUGGUAUCCUGUCUGAAUAUGGGGGGACCAUCCUCCAAGGCUAAAUACUCCUGACUGACCGAUAGUGAACCAGUACCGUGAGGGAAAGGCGAAAAGAACCCCGGCGAGGGGAGUGAAAAAGAACCUGAAACCGUGUACGUACAAGCAGUGGGAGCACCUUCGGGUGUGACUGCGUACCUUUUGUAUAAUGGGUCAGCGACUUAUAUUCUGUAGCAAGGUUAACCGUAUAGGGGAGCCGCAGGGAAACCGAGUCUUAACUGGGCGUUAAGUUGCAGGGUAUAGACCCGAAACCCGGUGAUCUAGCCAUGGGCAGGUUGAAGGUUGGGUAACACUAACUGGAGGACCGAACCGACUAAUGUUGAAAAAUUAGCGGAUGACUUGUGGCUGGGGGUGAAAGGCCAAUCAAACCGGGAGAUAGCUGGUUCUCCCCGAAAGCUAUUUAGGUAGCGCCUCGUGAAUUCAUCUUCGGGGGUAGAGCACUGUUUCGGCUAGGGGGUCAUCCCGACUUACCAACCCGAUGCAAACUACGAAUACCGAAGAAUGUUAUCACGGGAGACACACGGCGGGUGCUAACGUCCGUCGUGAAGAGGGAAACAACCCAGACCGCCAGCUAAGGUCCCAAAGUCAUGGUUAAGUGGGAAACGAUGUGGGAAGGCACAGACAGCCAGGAUGUUGGCUUAGAAGCAGCCAUCAUUUAAAGAAAGCGUAAUAGCUCACUGGUCGAGUCGGCCUGCGCGGAAGAUGUAACGGGGCUAAACCAUGCACCGAAGCUGCGGCAGCGACACUAUGUGUUGUUGGGUAGGGGAGCGUUCUGUAAGCCUGCGAAGGUGACCUGUGAGGGUUGCUGGAGGUAUCAGAAGUGCGAAUGCUGACAUAAGUAACGAUAAAGCGGGUGAAAAGCCCGCUCGCCGGAAGACCAAGGGUUCCUGUCCAACGUUAAUCGGGGCAGGGUGAGUCGACCCCUAAGGCGAGGCCGAAAGGCGUAGUCGAUGGGAAACAGGUUAAUAUUCCUGUACUUGGUGUUACUGCGAAGGGGGGACGGAGAAGGCUAUGUUAGCCGGGCGACGGUUGUCCCGGUUUAAGCAUGUAGGCUGGUUGUCCAGGCAAAUCCGGAUAAUCAAGGCUGAGGUGUGAUGACGAGGCACUACGGUGCUGAAGUAACAAAUGCCCUGCUUCCAGGAAAAGCCUCUAAGCAUCAGGUAACAUCAAAUCGUACCCCAAACCGACACAGGUGGUCAGGUAGAGAAUACCAAGGCGCUUGAGAGAACUCGGGUGAAGGAACUAGGCAAAAUGGUGCCGUAACUUCGGGAGAAGGCACGCUGGUGUGUAGGUGAAGUCCCUGCGGAUGGAGCUGAGACCAGUCGAAGAUACCAGCUGGCUGCAACUGUUUAUUAAAAACACAGCACUGUGCAAACACGAAAGUGGACGUAUACGGUGUGACGCCUGCCCGGUGCCGGAAGGUUAAUUGAUGGGGUUAUCCGUAAGGAGAAGCUCUUGAUCGAAGCCCCGGUAAACGGCGGCCGUAACUAUAACGGUCCUAAGGUAGCGAAAUUCCUUGUCGGGUAAGUUCCGACCUGCACGAAUGGCGUAAUGAUGGCCAGGCUGUCUCCACCCGAGACUCAGUGAAAUUGAACUCGCUGUGAAGAUGCAGUGUACCCGCGGCAAGACGGAAAGACCCCGUGAACCUUUACUAUAGCUUGACACUGAACAUUGAGCCUUGAUGUGUAGGAUAGGUGGGAGGCUUUGAAGCGUGGACGCCAGUCUGCGUGGAGCCAACCUUGAAAUACCACCCUUUAAUGUUUGAUGUUCUAACGUUGGCCCCUGACCGGGGUUGCGGACAGUGUCUGGUGGGUAGUUUGACUGGGGCGGUCUCCUCCCAAAGCGUAACGGAGGAGCACGAAGGUUAGCUAAUCCUGGUCGGACAUCAGGAGGUUAGUGCAAUGGCAUAAGCUAGCUUGACUGCGAGCGUGACGGCGCGAGCAGGUGCGAAAGCAGGUCAUAGUGAUCCGGUGGUUCUGAAUGGAAGGGCCAUCGCUCAACGGAUAAAAGGUACUCCGGGGAUAACAGGCUGAUACCGCCCAAGAGUUCAUAUCGACGGCGGUGUUUGGCACCUCGAUGUCGGCUCAUCACAUCCUGGGGCUGAAGUAGGUCCCAAGGGUAUGGCUGUUCGCCAUUUAAAGUGGUACGCGAGCUGGGUUUAGAACGUCGUGAGACAGUUCGGUCCCUAUCUGCCGUGGGCGCUGGAGAAUUGAGGGGGGCUGCUCCUAGUACGAGAGGACCGGAGUGGACGCAUCACUGGUGUUCGGGUUGUCAUGCCAAUGGCACUGCCCGGUAGCUAAAUGCGGAAGAGAUAAGUGCUGAAAGCAUCUAAGCACGAAACUUGCCCCGAGAUGAGUUCUCCCUGAGACUUUAAGUCUCCUGAAGGAACGUUAAAGACGAUGACGUUGAUAGGCCGGGUGUGUAAGCGCAGCGAUGCGUUGAGCUAACCGGUACUAAUGAACCGUGAGGCUUAACCUUACAACGCCGAAG